UACGUAGGGUGCAAACGUUGUUCGGAAUCACUGGGCAUAAAGAGCGCGUAGGCGGUCUGAUAAGUCCUGUGUGAAAGCCCCCGGCUUAACCGGGGAAUUGCACAGGAUACUGUCAGGCUAGAGUGCAGGAGGGGAGAGCGGAAUUCCUGGUGGAGCGGUGAAAUGCGUAGAUAUCAGGAGGAACGCCGGUGGCGAAAGCGGCUCUCUGGUCUGCAACUGACGCUGAGGUGCGAAAGCUAGGGGAGCAAACGGGAUUAGAUACCCCGGUAGUCCUAGCCCUAAACGAUGGGUACUAAGUAGGGGAAACUCCGAUGUUUUCCCUGCCGGAGCUAAUGUAUUAAGUACCCCGCCUGGGGAGUAUGGUCGCAAGGCUAAA
rnacentral:rRNA from 1 species